AGCCCUCCUGGCUUAGUUGGUAGACCACUUAGAAGCUGUGCCGCUGCACGUCGUGGUCGCAGGUUCGAUUCCUGCAGGGCUG